rnacentral:misc_RNA from 1 species
GAUGAAGAACGUAGCGAAAUGCGAUAAGUAGUGUGAAUUGCAGAAUUCAGUGAAUCAUCGAAUCUUUGAACGCACAUUGCGCCCCUUGGUAUUCCAUGGGGCAUGCCUGUUCGAGCGUCAUUUGUACCUUCAAGCUUUGCUUGGUGUUGGGUGUUUGUCUCGCCUUUGCGUGUAGACUCCCCUUAAAAUAAUUGGCAGCCGGCGUAUUGAUUUCGGAGCGCAGUACAUCUCGCGCUUUGCACUCAUAACGACAGCGUCCAAAAGUACAUUUUACACUCUUGACCUCGGAUCAGGUAGGGAUACCCGCUGAACUUAAGCAUAUCAAUAAGCGGAGGA